GCAGGGGACUCAUCGAAAGGUGCCGUCGCGCAGUAAUGCGCGAACGGGAACGGGAUGAAUUCAGGGAACCCGCAGCGACGCGCCAGCGGAUCGGUGGCAACCCUGAGCCAAGCCGGCGGUACACCGCCGGAAGGUGCAGAGACUACCUGAGGACUUCAGCGUCCUUCAUAACAGGCUCGAGCGUCCCGCACCCCACCCGCACGCAACACGCGGAGGGUGAAGAGAUAGUCCGCGCCAGAGGGAAACCUUUGG
rnacentral:ncRNA from 1 species